AGUGGUUUGGAACAUGGCUCAGGUCGAACGCUGGCGGCGUGCCUAAUACAUGCAAGUCGAACGAAACUUUCUUACACCGAAUGCUUGCAUUCACCGUAAGAAGUUGAGUGGCGGACGGGUGAGUAACACGUGGGUAACCUGCCUAAAAGAAGGGGAUAACACUUGGAAACAGGUGCUAAUACCGUAUAUCUCUAAGGAUCGCAUGAUCCUUAGAUGAAAGAUGGUUCUGCUAUCGCUUUUAGAUGGACCCGCGGCGUAUUAACUAGUUGGUGGGGUAACGGCCUACCAAGGUGAUGAUACGUAGCCGAACUGAGAGGUUGAUCGGCCACAUUGGGACUGAGACACGGCCCAAACUCCUACGGGAGGCAGCAGUAGGGAAUCUUCCACAAUGGACGCAAGUCUGAUGGAGCAACGCCGCGUGAGUGAAGAAGGUCUUCGGAUCGUAAAACUCUGUUGUUAGAGAAGAACACGAGUGAGAGUAACUGUUCAUUCGAUGACGGUAUCUAACCAGCAAGUCACGGCUAACUACGUGCCAGCAGCCGCGGUAAUACGUAGGUGGCAAGCGUUGUCCGGAUUUAUUGGGCGUAAAGGGAACGCAGGCGGUCUUUUAAGUCUGAUGUGAAAGCCUUCGGCUU
rnacentral:rRNA from 2 species